AUUGAACGCUGGCGGCAUGCUUUACACAUGCAAGUCGAACGGCAGCACAGGGAGCUUGCUCCCGGGUGGCGAGUGGCGCACGGGUGAGUAAUACAUCGGAACGUGUCCUGUUGUGGGGGAUAACUGCUCGAAAGGGUGGCUAAUACCGCAUGAGACCUGAGGGUGAAAGCGGGGGAUCGCAAGACCUCGCGCAAUUGGAGCGGCCGAUGCCCGAUUAGCUAGUUGGUGAGGUAAAGGCUCACCAAGGCGACGAUCGGUAGCUGGUCUGAGAGGACGACCAGCCACACUGGGACUGAGACACGGCCCAGACUCCUACGGGAGGCAGCAGUGGGGAAUUUUGGACAAUGGGGGCAACCCUGAUCCAGCCAUGCCGCGUGCAGGAUGAAGGCCUUCGGGUUGUAAACUGCUUUUGUCAGGGACGAAAAGGACCGUGUUAAUACCAUGGUCUGCUGACGGUACCUGAAGAAUAAGCACCGGCUAACUACGUGCCAGCAGCCGCGGUAAUACGUAGGGUGCAAGCGUUAAUCGGAAUUACUGGGCGUAAAGCGUGCGCAGGCGGUUCUGUAAGACAGAUGUGAAAUCCCCGGGCUCAACCUGGGAAUUGCAUUUGUGACUGCAGGACUAGAGUUCAUCAGAGGGGGGUGGAAUUCCAAGUGUAGCAGUGAAAUGCGUAGAUAUUUGGAAGAACACCAAUGGCGAAGGCAGCCCCCUGGGAUGCGACUGACGCUCAUGCACGAAAGCGUGGGGAGNCAACAGG
rnacentral:rRNA from 1 species